rnacentral:rRNA from 1 species
UACGGAGGGGAGCUAGCGUUGUUCGGAAUUACUGGGCGUAAAGCGCGCGUAGGCGGCUUUGUAAGUUAGAGGUGAAAGCCCGGGGCUCAACCCCGGAAUUGCCUUUAAGACUGCAUCGCUAGAAUCCGGGAGAGGUGAGUGGAAUUCCGAGUGUAGAGGUGAAAUUCGUAGAUAUUCGGAAGAACACCAGUGGCGAAGGCGGCUCAC